UGGGGUUUCUGCUGCACCUGCUGAUAUAAGUUACUCCAUGGAAUCAAGGUGGAGAGAUAUCAAAAUAUAUAAAAGCUAACCGCAUUGCUGCUGCGCUUGACCACAUCACUGCCACAACAAACAAAUUUAAUACUAUGGGUUUUAUAUAGAAAUAGGAUAACAUUGUGAAUUUGUGUAAUAUGCUACAUAUUAGAUCUCUCAAUUAUGGUUUGAAUACAAUCAUAUACAGGAGUAAUCAGAGACUAAUUAUGAGCUACUGGCAUGCUCAUAACCUAACAAUCAUAGCUAGUGAGCCCCUGGUUAUUUAUAAAUAACUAUAUAAAUUCUAACAUGAAUGUUUCACUUAAUAACUUUAAACCAAAAGUUUUCAUUUCAACAACCAAACAUCAAAGAAGAAUGAAUGAUUCAAAGAUGAACUAGAAACCAAUCAAUUUUACUAAGUUUUCAUUUCAACAACCAAACAUCAAAGAAGAAUGAAUGAUUCAAAGAUGAACUAGAAACCAAUCAAUUUUACAUUUGUACCAAAAACACAAAAAUACACUUGUACCAAAAAGAAACAAAAAAAAGCAAACACUAAAUUUCAAACACAAAAAUACACUAAUUUUCCCACAAUGUAGUAGCAUUUUGUCUUCCUCAACAUUAACGUUGAUUGAAAUAGUUUUUAAACCCUGGAAACAGGUUACCAAUUGUACUACUUACCACUGUCCACAAUUCCUUUGUAAUUUAUGUCACAUGGGCAAAGCUCAUGACAUGGGAUUUAAUAUCAUGUCUUGUACAUGUGAUGAACUUUAUUAAAUUUUUCUGACACACUCCUUGACAUGAAAAUCUCAUUGGCUUCAACUAGUGUCUAUAACUAUUGUUCAUUAAUUUAUCUAAAUGUUUUUAUUCACCUACUAUCUAUAACUAUGUUCAUAAAUUUAUCUAAAUGUUUUUAGUGGCAUAUUCCUCCCAGUUUGAAGUUUGAAUUGGUUUAUUUGGUAGACUUUUAGUGUCUAUUGUCAAGAUUUUUACACCUAGUUCGUCAUUCACUAUGGCAGCCUCGGUGGCACAGUGCUUAUACAGACAUUGUCCAACCGGGAACUAACUAGUCCGAUGAAUUUUUUUUAUAACUAUGUUCAUAUGCACUUGUUAGUUUAUAUUUUUACAUGGAGAAAAAUGGUUAGGAUAUGGUAAUGUUAUAUAAAAAAAUGGUUUAAUAUAGUUACUCAUCAAAAGAACACUUUAAGUUUGUAAGAGACAAAAAUUACCAAAAAACUACUGUGUGAGGAUGGACUUAGUAUGAGUUCAGCAAGAACAUCAAACCUAAACUUAGCUGAAGUAAUUGUUUUGAAGAGUUUCAAUAUAAAAUAGAAAGAUUUUGUUUUACCAUUGGCCAUUUUGUAAGGGUUCUGUGUCAAUAUUAAGAAGUCAUUAGUUUAGCUUUAUAAGAGCUGAAGCACAAACAGAGUUAAAGAGUUCAUACAAGUAAGAUAUUACAUUUAUGAACAUAGAUUACACAAAUAAACUCAACAACAACCACGCCUUUAAAUUACCAAAGCAACAUUAACUCACUUUAUACGGCGUUGCUUAUUCUUAACAUCAUCAAAAAACUUAUGGACAUCUGCAACAGUAAUUGGCUUGGAGGAGUCUGCAGAUUCGUGUCAUGAAACAUGACAACAACAAAUUAAAAUGAUUAAAUAAAGAUGUGAUUAAUGCACUCAUAAUCAAUAUUUCAACGUGUCUCUUUAAGGAUGAUGGAUAUUACACUAACUGUAACACCGCUUUUAAGUUCAAAGAUAGCAUCCAAUACCUCAAGUGCCCAUUUUGGGGAGAAAAUAGAGAAAUGUAUUGUGGCAGUGUUGCUAAUCCUAACAUGAAACUCACGUGGGAAGAUAAAGUUCCAAAGAUCACAAUCAAUAGUAGAUUCAUAAACUAGAGUAAACUAACCCAUUUUAAAAGAGAA
rnacentral:lncRNA from 1 species